GGGGAGGCCGACGGUCGGUUGAGGGGGAGAAAGAGGCCGACGGUCGGUUGAGGGGGAGAAAGAGGCCGACGGUCGGUUGAGGGGGAGAAAGAGGCCGACGGUCGGUUGAGGCCGGGGGAGAAAGAGGCCGACGGUCGGUUGAGGGGGAGAAAGAGACGGUCGGUUGAGGGGGAGAAAGAGGCCGACGGUCGGUUGAGGGGGAGAAAGAGGCCGACGGUCGGUUGAGGGGGAGAAAGAGGCCGACGGUAGGUUAAAGAGAACCUACGAGAUAAUCUGCAUAUGCAUUUAUAAUGACAUGCCCUGUUUGGCACUGAUUUGUUAAGUUCUAUUUGAUAUUUGUAUGGAAGCAUAGAGACUGUCGGUGCCAGAAUUUUAUGUUACUAGAAAUAUUUGUUUUUGAAAUAAAAGACUACUCGCUUUUAUUGGUUUGUGUUCUUUCAGGUUAGUUUAGUAUGCUGAGAAUUUAGAAUGUGGUUCCUCAGUCAGCCCCACACAGUAUGCAGGCGAUGAUUUCUCAAUACUAUUUCUAUUGCGCCAAUCACAAUAUUCACUGUUACGUAAUGAUGUCCAUAUUUGGUAACUUAUGAGCUUUCCUGUGACUCAAUUGGAGCAUUGGAACGCACUUGACUGAGAUCUGUGUCAAAGUUUACUUUCAGAAUUGCUCUCCAGUCUCAAUGCACUUGUCACAGUAAAAAAAACAAAGUGAUUACCAAUGAAUAGUAGCUGGGAUAUUAAAAAUGUCACUACGAUUCUGCUCAUUAUUUUGCAUUGUAAAGGUGCAAAGGCCCAGUCUACAAAGAAGAUCGCCAUCUUAGCUGGCACGGAUGUUACCUUAAACUGCUCUUUUAAGAAGCCUGAACAUGUACCGCUGAAGAAAAUCACGGUUGAGUGGGGGAUGAUGGUGGAUAAAGAGACCAUAAAGCACCUAGUGUAUACAUUCCAGAACGAGAGUGCCAAGGUGCAUCGUGAAGGGUCUCGAGUCGACCAAACGGGGUUGCUUCAGGGCAAUGCAUCCCUUCGUUUGUUCAACAUGACCGUGGCUGAUGAGGGACUCUACCGCUGCAGAGUGAUCAUCACUCCCAACACAUACAAAGUUUCCUCACAGCUGGAAGUAUCAGCCAGACCCUCAGUGUCCCUCCCAGAGACCGCCAUGGUGAUGGAGGGGGAGGAACGGACAUUGAUGUGUGACAUCACAGGAUUCUACCCAGAGAAUCUGUCUGUGACCUGGCUGAUCCAAAAUGGCUCCCGGGUGGCCCGUGGGAGCAUGGCUCGCGGGGCCAUCUCGCGUGAUGUGUGCACUGGAAUGGCUGUGCCCAAUCCAGACGGCACCUACAGUGUCAGCAGUCACAUCACUGUCCAGGCUUCAGCCGUAGGGAGCGGAGGAGCCAUGUACAUCUGUCACAUUGAACAUAGGUCCUACCCUGAUGGAAAAUACAGCAAAAGCAUCUUGUUGACCGUGCAAGAUCCAGGGUUUAAUGCUGUAAUGCUGAUGGUGGUUACUAGUCUUGUUAGUGUUCUUCUGGUCUUCUCUGUCAUCGGUGGUGCAAUGGUCUUCUACAGGUAUUUUUACACAGUUCCUCCCAGCAUCUCUGACAUCAUCAAACCCACCAUCGUUUAUGCCAUGAAGCCGACCAACUUAAAAUGCACCAUUAAAAGAGUACGACUGAGAGAGCUCAAAGUGAAAUGGUACAAGAUAACAGCCAACAGGGACUGUAACGCAGCUUCCAAUAGCCAAUCAAAGGCACUGUUGAGCCACAAGGACCUGAGUGACCAGGCUAACAUCCACUCUGAGAGCACGCAUCACGUGUCUACCCUGUCCAUCUGUCUGUCAGUUAGGGAGGACCAGGCUAAGUACCUAUGUGUUGUGCUGUACAGAGGCAAGAAGAUCACCAGAGAGACCACUGUGAGUGUAAAAGUGACUCCAUCGUUCUUUCACAUCUCCAGCAUGCCUCAGAUCCCAGAGGUAAAGAGGUUGCUGGUGCUCUGCUGUCGGGUCGAGAAGUUCUACCCGGACGACCUCCAUCUUGAGUGGUCGAGAAAUGACGGGGAGCAGGUGAGGACAGCCACUAACUAUGGACCGUUCUCUGACCACGAGCAGAUAUACAGCAUGUGGAGUAAGAUCGAACUGACAAUAGCUCAGGAAGACGAGAAGGUGGUCUACACAUGUCGCUUGUAUCACUCCAGUUUCCCCGGGCCAGGAUACAAAGACGUUCUCUAUCAUAUUAACACACAAGGUACUCCUCCAAGUGUGAUGUUUAUCAAGUGUGAGCCACUACUCCCUCUGCUGGAUGAGGAGUGCACACUCAACCUCUGUGUCAAAGACUUCUGUCCUGAACAAGUGUCUGUCACAUGGUUUAAGGACGGACAGACGGUCCCCAACAGCCAGUUCUUCAACUCCCCACCCAGCCUCAACAUCAAUGGCCUCUACUCUAUGUGGAGCUUCCUCAAACUGAGCCACACCUCGGAGGACUACGGCUCAGAGUUCAGGUGCCGGGUGGUCCACAGUGCCCAGAAGGAACCGGAGGAGAGGGUGUUCACACAUCAGAUCUCAUAGUCACCUAGUCAAGGGAAGUCAGACCUUUGAUCAAAUACUGUGUUUGCACUUUUGGGACUUUUCUAUUGGUUCCAUUACAACAGGAAAGCUCAAUAAAGGACGGCUCAAGUAUUUGAAA